CUGCAAGUAGCUGAGUUUCUAUGGCUACUUGACGCUCUUCCCUGCGGCCAGCUAGCAGGAAUGGGCAUGAAACUCGGGUGCCCCAUGCCAACAGAAACUAGGAGUCUUCUUGUCUGAAAGAGGCAAAGUGUAGUGCUGUGUCACUAAAGUUUGGGAAGAGGAGUAGCAGCUAGAGUCCAGAUGCAGGGAGACAAGCCCUUGCCGAGACACGGUUUCCACUAAGGUCAAGUGCAGUUAAAUUGUCCUUCUAUUUUCGGGUUUAACCUCCGCUCUGACAUUUAAGCGCCCUAUGCUUCAGCUGUCUUGCAGAUAAGAUCUUUGCUUCUAUAAUAAAACUUUUGUGUUGUGAGGUUGCAAA